rnacentral:tRNA from 1 species
GCAGUGGUUCAGUGGUGGAAUUCUUGCCUCCCACGUAGGAGACCUGGGUUCAAUCCCUGGCAAUGCA